rnacentral:rRNA from 1 species
GACGAACGCUGGCGGCGUGCUUAACACAUGCAAGUCGAACGGAAAGGCCCUGCUUUUGUGGGGUGCUCGAGCGGCGAACGGGUGAGUAACACGUGAGUAACCUGCCCUUGACUUUGGGAUAACUUCAGGAAACUGGGGCUAAUACCGGAUAGGAGCUCCUGCUGCAUGGUGGGGGUUGGAAAGUUUCGGCGGUUGGGGAUGGACUCGCGGCUUAUCAGCUUGUUGGUGGGGUAGUGGCUUACCAAGGCUUUGACGGGUAGCCGGCCUGAGAGGGUGACCGGCCACAUUGGGACUGAGAUACGGCCCAGACUCCUACGGGAGGCAGCAGUGGGGAAUAUUGCACAAUGGGCGGAAGCCUGAUGCAGCAACGCCGCGUGCGGGAUGACGGCCUUCGGGUUGUAAACCGCUUUCGCCUGUGACGAAGCGUGAGUGACGGUAAUGGGUAAAGAAGCGCCGGCUAACUACGUG